rnacentral:misc_RNA from 1 species
GAUGAAGAACGUAGUGAAAUGCGAUAAGUAAUGUGAAUUGCAGAAUUCAGUGAAUCAUCGAAUCUUUGAACGCAUCUUGCGCUCCUUGGUAUUCUGAGGAGCAUGCCUGUUUGAGUGUCAUUAAAUUCUCAACUACACUGGCUUUGAAUUGGUGUGGCUUGGAUUUGGGGGGAAAAUUGUUGUGGGCUUUUUGUAUAGUCUGCUCCCCUGAAAUUGAUUAGCGGUACCUUUGUGGAACUGUCUACAGGUGUGAUAAUUAUCUACAUCUUAGACAUCUGCUGGAAUGCUGCUUUCUAAACGUUACUUGUAUUGACAAUCUUGACCUCAAAUCAGGUAGGACUACCCGCUGAACUUAAGCAUAUCAAUAAGCGGAGGA